UUUGUGCUAUUUAUUUUCUCUUACAGCUUGGUGGAGGUUAUCUAUUUGGGUUGCCUUUGGGGUUCGUUGCUGAUUCUAUUGGUGCAACAAUUGGUGCUACAGCUGCAUUUAUUCUUGGUAGAACAGGUUGUUGAGAUCAUCUGCACUUUGGUCAGGAAAUUAUCUCCUAAUCCUAAUAGUGCUCCUAUAAUGGCCAUGGGUGUUAACAUCUUGGCAAAGAGAUUGAAAUGAUUGGGGUUCUUGAUUGAGUUUCUAUCCCAUGCUGCCAUUGUUGGGUUCAUGGGAGGAGCUGCCAUUACAAUUGCCCUU